GGUAAGUUAUCUUCGAUUUAUCACACAUUUAACAUAAUUGUUUUAAUUUAUUUCCUGAUUCUUUGUUGGAUAAUACUAUUUGCAGAUUCCGUGAUUCAUGGGUUUACUCCCGUCGGACAUGCUAAUCAUUACAUGCCAUCUUUGAAAGCAGAUUCCAUUGUGAAAGUCGAUCGUUUUGAGGUUGCUAGGUGCUCCAAGUGAUUGCGAACACAAACCUAGAAAUUGGUAAACAUAGCAUAUUUGGCAGCUCCAAGCAAGAUUACAAUCAGGCAAAUUCAAGUGGAAUGACAUACCAACAACUGAAACUGCCUCUGUCAUGGAUAGCUCUCUCCCAAGAAUUGCAUUGACUAUGGUUUCUGGGAAGAAAAAGAUCUUGCUCCUGAAAAAAAACCGUGACAACCCUGUUGUAAGAUUUUAGUUUGUGCAGAACAAAAAACCUUGAUUUAUUUUCUAUUUAGUAUAGUGAUAGUUGUUGACAAUCAUUAGUUAUUUGCCAAUAUGUUUUUUAUGCGGCAUUUCAGAACUCUCCAUUCCAAGCGGAAUAGCAGAUGAAAGCUAAUUUUUCUGGAAGCUCAUCGACUUCAAGACAGAAUCCGAAGAUAGAUGUUGGUGGGAGGUUAAUCAAGGGAAUACUUCAGAGAAGUGAGACGGCCUAGCCAGACUUCAUCUUUUGUACAGCCUGAGCAAAGAGUGGAACCCAUAAAACACGAGAGAAUAAAAAACAAAACACGAAAUUAACAUAUUCAGAUCUUCUCUCUUGCAUGUCUAACAUCUGGCGCCGACGAAACUCAACACCCACGGCAGACGAAGCUGAUGCAAGUAAACCUCUCAUCAAUCAUGCUUAAAAUCAAUCUACGCUUUUCAAUCUCACAAACUAAGAAACAAUUUUACCUACAUGAAUCGAGAAAUUAGUGCCCACAUUCCCGACAUAGAGAAAAAAAGGAGUUGAAAUCCUAACAGUUUUUUCAGUAUUAGACUAAACCACAGAUUCAAGGCCCAGUUAUUUUGAAACCCUAACAUUUUAAAUCUAAAUUUAUUAUCUUUUUCCAUGCACUAUUUGAUUUAUAUACAAACAACUACCUAAGUAAACACUAACAAGUUCCAUCACCCUCAACUUUGAACAUAUAAGAUAUAAAAAUAUCAACAUAUGACUUCAUCGUUCAUUCUUAUAUCAAACUCAUCAACUUAUGUAAUAUCCAAAGUCCCAUCAAUCACAUUAUAGACAAAAAACAAUAAAA